AAAUUGAAGAGUUUGAUCAUGGCUCAGAUUGAACGCUGGCGGCAGGCCUAACACAUGCAAGUCGGACGGUAACAGGAAACAGCUUGCUGUUUCGCUGACGAGUGGCGGACGGGUGAGUAAUGUCUGGGAAACUGCCUGAUGGAGGGGGAUAACUACUGGAAACGGUAGCUAAUACCGCAUAACGUCGCAAGACCAAAGAGGGGGACCUUCGGGCCUCUUG
rnacentral:rRNA from 1 species